UGAGUGCUAAGAGAAUGGUUUAACGAUUUUAAGCUUUCUUUAAUUAAUAAAUUGAAUUUAAUUUUUUUGUGAAGAAGCAAAAAUUUAAAUUAGGGACAAGAAGACCCUAUGAAUUUUGAAUUAGAUUGUAUAAUUUAAAUAGAAUUAUGUUGUUUAAAUUAAUUGGGGUGAUUAGAAAAGAAUAUAUAUCUUUUUUUAAUUAAUUAAUUUGUUCCGUUUUUUAACGAUUUUAUGAUAAAAAUACUCUAGGGAUAACAGCGUAAUAAUUUUGGAUAGUUCAUAUAGAUAAAAUAGUUUGCGACCUCGAUGUUGGAUUAGGAUUCUUUUUUAAUGAAGAAAUUAAAGAUAAGAAGUUUGUUCAACUUUUAAAUUCCUACUUGAUCU
rnacentral:rRNA from 1 species